GUUAAUAAAUGUUUGAAAAAAAAAAAAGGUUCUCGUCUGAUCAUCGAAGUCAAGAUGCGUUGGGCACGGUUAGUACUUAGAUGGGUGCCGCUUGGGAACUUCGUGUACUGUUGGCA
rnacentral:rRNA from 1 species